AGAGUUUGAUCCUGGCUCAGAACGAACGCUGGCGGCGUGCCUAACACAUGCAAGUCGAGCGCGAAUGGAGCAAUCCUAGUAGAGCGGCGCACGGGUGCGUAACACGUGGAUAAUCUGCCUGGGUGUCUGGGAUAACCAGUCGAAAGACUGGCUAAUACCGGAUAAGCCCCCGGGAGCUUCGGCUCUUGAGGGAAAAGGUGGCCUCUGUAUACAAGCUAUCACAUCCAGAUGAGUCCGCGGCCCAUCAGCUAGUUGGCGGGGUAAUGGCCCACCAAGGCAACGACGGGUAGCUGGUCUGAGAGGACGAUCAGCCACACUGGAACUGAGACACGGUCCAGACUCCUACGGGAGGCAGCAGUGGGGAAUUUUGCGCAAUGGGCGAAAGCCUGACGCAGCAACGCCGCGUGUGUGAUGAAGGUCUUCGGAUUGUAAAGCACUUUCGACCGGGACGAAAACCCUGAGGCUAACAUCCUCAGGCUUGACGGUACCGGGAGAAGAAGCACCGGCUAACUCUGUGCCAGCAGCCGCGGUAAUACAGAGGGUGCAAGCGUUGUUCGGAAUUAUUGGGCGUAAAGCGCGUGUAGGCGGCUUUGCAAGUCGGGUGUGAAAGCCCUCAGCUCAACUGAGGAAGUGCGCCCGAAACUGCAGAGCUUGAGUGCCGGAGAGGGUGGCGGAAUUCCCCAAGUAGAGGUGAAAUUCGUAGAUAUGGGGAGGAACACCGGUGGCGAAGGCGGCCACCUGGACGGUAACUGACGCUGAGACGCGAAAGCGUGGGGAGCAAACAGGAUUAGAUACCCUAGUAGUCC
rnacentral:rRNA from 1 species